rnacentral:rRNA from 1 species
UACGUAGGGUCCGAGCGUUGUCCGGAAUUACUGGGCGUAAAGAGCUCGUAGGUGGUUUGUCGCGUUGUUCGUGAAAACUCACAGCUCAACUGUGGGCGUGCGGGCGAUACGGGCAGACUAGAGUACUGCAGGGGAGACUGGAAUUCCUGGUGUAGCGGUGAAAUGCGCAGAUAUCAGGAGGAACACCGGUGGCGAAGGCGGUGGUCUGGGCCGGAACUGACGCUGAGGAGCGAAAGCGUGGGGAGCGAACAGG